rnacentral:rRNA from 1 species
UACAGAGGGGGCAAGCGUUGUUCGGAAUUACUGGGCGUAAAGCGCACGCAGGUGGCUGAGUCAGUCGAUUGUGAAAGCCCUGGGCUUAACCUGGGAAUUGCAGUCGAUACUACUCAGCUAGAGUAUGGGAGAGGGUAGUGGAAUUCCCGGUGUAGUGGUGAAAUGCGUAGAUAUCGGGAGGAACACCAGUGGCGAAGGCGACUACCUGGCCUGUUCUUGACGCUGAGGCGCGAAAGCUAGGGGAGCAAACGGG